CUCAAUAUUACCAGAAAUAAAGUCCAAGUAAGAAGUUUAUUUGUCUCAUGCAACAAAACAUUUAAGGGUGUCCAAAGCUGGAACUGUGGCCUAAUGUCAUAUGGAAACUAGGUUCUCUCAAUCUUCCUGCUUUGCCAGCCUUAGCAUUUACUUACCACUUCAUAGGCACAUGAUGGCAGUUGAACUUCCCAACUUCAGGUCUGCUUAGAGGCAGGAAUAAAAGUGGCAAAACACUUAAAGAGUAUACUCAACUAGGCUGGGCGCAGUUGCUCACACUUGUAAUCCCAGCACUUUGGGAGGCCAAGGUAGGUGGAUCAUGAGGUCAGGAGUUUGAGACCAGCCUGGCCAAGAUGGUGAAACCCCGUCUCUACUAAAAAUACAAAAAUUAGCCUGGCGUGCUGGCGGGCACCUGUAGUCUCAGCUACUUGGGAGGCUGAGGCAGGAGAAUUGUUUGAACCUGGGAGACGGAGGUUGCCGUGAGCCGAGAUUGCGCCACUGCACUCCAGCCUGGGCAACAGAGCAAGACUUUGUCUCAAAAACAAAAAAAAAAAGGCUGGGGGGCUGGAGCAUACAUGUUUGAAGUAGAAUCUUUGACAAGCUGUUCUGCGUCCAUUCCCAUUUCUGUGCUUCCAUAUUUGUUUUCUAGAAAUUUUUUCUUUUCUUUUCUUUUUUUUUUUUUUUAGAAUUCUCUCUAGGAAAGCUACACUCCUGUGUCCUAGGGCCCAACAACAAGCAAGACAAGCAUAAUAGCUGGGAAACCAAUCAGCUUAAACUAAGACAGACAAUUAUCAAAAGGGCAUGUCUAGCCCGUGAGAACAUCCACCCUAAAUCCAGAAGGCAUUAUGACCACAUCUCUUCAGCUGCCAGGAUUUCAGAAGUCAAUGUGAUUUUAUUUGAAGCAAAACUGAAAUGGGUUCUUCUUCCUCAUUCUAUUCAUAUUGCUUUUUGAUGGCCAUGGCAUAAGGAACUUUAUCCCAGGAAUACAGCUUUGCAUUAGGUAAGCUAUAAACUUGCUCAUAAUACCAUUGUUAAACAUUACUUACUGUAGUCAUUUCUCUUUUAGCAAAAAUAAUAAUGUAUUUUGUUAAGAUAUUUAAUUCCUCUAGAGCAGAAGAUUCUUUCUUCUCUUCUGAAGAGAUAUUACGCAUUCUAAGGCCUACCAAUGACAUAAUUUGCACUAAUAGAACAUUUAAUGUCAGAUAAAUUUUUCUGCCAAGUGAUUUUUUUUUUUUUUUUUUUAACUUAGAAAAAUGUUAGAUUUGGAGUUAGGCUGCUGUUUGAAUCCUGACAUGCCAUUUCUGAGGUGUGUAACCACGGGCAGGUCUUUUAAUUUGAGCUUCAGUUUACUCAUCUUUCAAAAGGAUGCAAUGAUACGGGAGUGUUGCACAAUGUAGGUUUACAUAGUGUGCUCUGUGAACUCUAAAGCAUUUCACUAAUGUAAAGAGUAGGCAUAGGGAAUUGGUAUUUUUGUACAUUUGUGCCAGGCUUUAAAUUUACUGAAGCAACAUUUACUAUGUUUAAAUUUGCUUUCUAUAGUAAGCAUGCAAAUUACCAUAUGCUCUGAUUAAAGAAAUCUCUGAAGGACUUCACAAUAAGUAGCUAGUGGGUCUGCUUCCCUAUUGUAUUGCUGUCAUCUGUGUUUUUAGGAUGUUUAAUUGGUGUUUAAAUCACGUAUAAAAUUUGACUUAGAGUUCCUCAGCUGCAUAAUAAAUAGUGGCUGCUAUUAAACUCA
ensembl:lncRNA